CAUGGUGUCCAGCCCCUCCCCUCACGUAAGCUGUGAACUCUGCGUCAGAUCUUCACUGCAUGGACGAGAGCAGGCUGGAGUCAUGGAUCGGGGAGAGAUGGAAGAAGAUUUGACAACCAUUCAUGGUCACCGUGACAGCCCUUUCAAUUCUUCAGGAAAUGGACCAGAGCUCUUCUGACUCUACAGUGAUCCUUGAACUAAGUUCCGUCCCUGAAAAGGAGGAC